GCGUGUCUGGGUCACAUUGUACAGUUCUGUUUGCAUCAGAUGGCGUAUGCAAGGCGCAGAUACAACUCAUACAAGUUUAGCACGCUAGAAAGACGUAGCUACAAAGAUUCUAUGUCAUUCACCAUUCUCCCAAAGCCAUCCGAAAAUGUUGCAUCAACGCUUAUGAAAAUAUUUACAAAAUAAAGAUCUUCACUGUCAUUUGGUAGCGAAUUUGGUUUUCUUUGUUCCUAGAAAUCGAGAGCCUUGCAACAUGAUCAAUAUAUUUACAAGAGAAAUAAACAAUGAUCGACUCCAAGCAAAAUCACUACAGAUUGGGAUAUGUUCAUAACACUGAAUUAUGAGUAUAAAGGUGCAAAAGUGAUAUAAUACGUGUUACCGAAAUACGCUAUUUGGCAAGCAAGCAGUACUCUUUUUGCGGCAUAACAAAAGCUCAUCAUUUUUUCUGUGAGACAACGGGGUCUAUAGUCUUUUACCACAUGCAGGACUUUUACAAAUAAAGCUGUCCAUUGCCAUCGUCCGUGAUUUACAGCGCUCAUCAUCUACAUUAAUCUACUGUCAAUGAUCUAGUGUGGUCUUCCGACAUCGACACUCCUAGCGAUGGCAACCAUCAUCUGCCAUCACCUAGUGCCAUCUUCAAUUACUAUUAUACGCUCUAUCUUCUGUCACCAUCAUUGUCAUGUAAUUCAUGUAAUGUCAUCCACCGUCCUUUUGUAAUCCCUUGUAUGUAAUUACGCGAUUAUGUCUGUGGUUAAUAAUUUUCUUUGGCUUUGCUAGGCUUUCGUCUGCCUUGUUGAGAACGUCAAUUAGCGCUGACUGUUGUAAUUUCUUGUAUCUACCCUGUGAAUACUUUAUGGUAUAACAAAUACUUUAUGGUUUCCGUGUUUGCAGGGCCCUAUCUUAAUUGCGGGGGGGGGGUGUAUACUCAUAUAUUCGUCGUAUGCCCGAUUGAUUUCCUUUGUACGCUAUUGUUCCUACGGUAUAUUAACAUGAAUAUAUGAAUAUACCCCCAAUUAAGCUU